rnacentral:rRNA from 1 species
UAAGGAAUAUUGGUCAAUGGAGGCAACUCUGAACCAGCCAUGCCGCGUGCAGGAAGAAGGCCCUAUGGGUCGUAAACUGCUUUUGAACAAGAGAAAACCCCGGUACGUGUACUGGGUUGAUAGUAUUGUUAGAAUAAGCAUCGGCUAACUUCGUGCCAGCAGCCGCGGUAAGACGAAGGAUGCAAGCGUUAUCCGGAUUCAUUGGGUUUAAAGGGUGCGUAGGCGGACUGAUAAGUCAGUGGUGAAAUCUCUCGGCUUAACCGAGAAACUGCCAUUGAUACUGUUAGUCUAGAGUACAGAUGAUGUGGGCGGAAUAUGACAUGUAGUGGUGAAAUACUUAGAUAUGUCAUAGAACACCGAUUGCGAAGGCAGCUCACAAAACUGUAACUGACGCUGAGGCACGAAAGUGCGGGGAUCAAGCAGGAUUAGAUACCCAAGUAGUCCCUGAGCGGGCUGGCAAGGCGCAU